rnacentral:rRNA from 1 species
UGGGGAAUAUUGCACAAUGGGCGAAAGCCUGAUGCAGCAACGCCGCGAGGGACGACGGCCUUCGGGUUGUAAACCUCUUUUAGCAAGGAAGAAGCGAAAGUGACGGUACUUGCAGAAAAAGCGCCGGCUAACUACGUGCCAGCAGCCGCGGUAAUACGUAGGGCGCAAGCGUUAUCCGGAAUUAUUGGGCGUAAAGAGCUCGUAGGCGGUUUGUCGCGUCUGCUGUGAAAACCCGAGGCUCAACCUCGGGCCUGCAGUGGGUACGGGCAGACUAGAGUGCGGUAGGGGAGAUUGGAACUCCUGGUGUAGCGGUGGAAUGCGCAGAUAUCAGGAAGAACACCGAUGGCGAAGGCAGAUCUCCGGGCCGUAACUGACGCUGAGGAGCGAAAGGGUGGGGAGCAAACAGGCUUAGAUACCCUGGUAGUCCACCCCGUAAACGUUGGGAACUAGUUGUGGGGUCCAUUCCACGGAUUCCGUGACGCAGCUAACGCAUUAAGUUCCCCGCCUGGGGGGUACGGCCGCAAGG